CCUACGGGAGGCAGCAGUGAGGAAUAUUGGUCAAUGGACGAAAGUCUGAACCAGCCAAGUAGCGUGAAGGAUGACUGCCCUAUGGGUUGUAAACUUCUUUUAUAUGGGAGUAAAAUGAUACACGUGUGGCUUUUUGUAUGUAUCGUAUGAAUAAGGAUCGGCUAACUCCGUGCCAGCAGCCGCGGUAAUACGGAGGAUUCAAGCGUUAUCCGGAUUUAUUGGGUUUAAAGGGUGCGUAGGUGGUCUGUUAAGUUAGUGGUGAAAGCUUGCGGCUCAACCGUGAAAUUGCCUUUGAUACUGUUCGGCUUGAGAACAGUUGAGGUAGGCGGAAUUUGUGGUGUAGCGGUGAAAUGCUUAGAGAUCACGAAGAACACCGAUUGCGAAGGCAGCUCACUAAACUACUUCUGACACUGAGGCACGAAAGUGUGGGGAGCAAACAGGAUUAGAUACCCUGGUAGUC
rnacentral:rRNA from 1 species